CACUUCAGCUCCCGCUGUGAUCCUGCCCAUCACUCCAUUAUGGUGCCUGUGUCGCUGAUGCUCGUUUUCCUGGCUGCCUAUUCUCCAGGUGUCAUCUCACAGGUGGUUCUGACUCAAGAAGGUCCAGUCUUGAAAAAACCUGGAGAAUCUCACAAGCUGACUUGUGCAACCAGUGGGUUUGCUCUUAGCAGCUACUGGAUGCACUGGGUUAGACAGAAACCUGGAAAAGGAUUAGAGUGGCUUGUGAGCUAUUACACUGCUAGCAGCAAUAACUAUUCCCCUGCCAUCCGAGGGCGAUUCACAGCGUCAAAGGGGGCCUCUGACUUCUAUCUGCAAAUGAACAACCUGAAAGAGGAAGACACAGCGGUCUAUUACUGUGCAAGGGACACA